GAGGGGAAGAGGUGCGCAGCACGGCGAGAGCCGGCGCGCAGGCAGCGGAAGAAUAGGUCCUUGACCUAGACGGCUGAUACCAUGAGAGCCAAUAAGUCUCUGGAUAUUAGAUUGAUAAUCAAGGGUACAGGGUACAUAUAUAGGCAAGGAUCCCCUAAGGGUUUAUAGAAACACCCAGAUUACGGUGAUCCUUGCCUUAUCAAUCUAACUUAACCAUUAAGGCAUUAGGCCCAUAACAGGCCAAAGGGCGCCUAUUCUAACAGCGCCGUAGCCCCCCAGUGAGAGAGACCGUGCGCGCCUCUCCCCCUCCACCUCUUCUCCUUUUCCAUCCCCCUCUCGACAUUAGGGUGCGCUCCGUUGCACACGUCCCGGCAGGCGGACGGCGGCGCGGCGACGCCUCGGCAUGGCGACCCAAGACGCGCGGCUGCCCCUAGCCCGACCUCCCAACGGCGUGGCAACCUCAACACGGGCGGCGCCGUGGCGGCGCUGUCUCUACUUGGCUUCCAUCCUAUUUGUCUCACAGCCUGCUGGAGCUGCUCCGGUGAACCCACUACUGGAUCUGGUACCUCCGUGGACGGAUCAGUUGAUAUGCCCACCACAUCCAGAGGUGGUGCCGGUGAGGCUGUCGCCACCUCAUCCAGGUCAGUUGUCACACCAUCAUCCUCCUCGUUCUUCUCUACAUCAUCUUCCUGUUGAACAAAUUACUGUGCUUUGGUGAUGUGGUUUUCUUGUUUGAUGUAACGACGGAAGAUUAGCCGGCAACGAUGGCCUCAUGGUCUGCAGUGGAAGGGCAUGCCAUAAUUGUCGCAUGUAGAACUACAACCAGCAGAGGUCAUUUCAGGAGCUCAACGCCAAGGAUCUACACGACACGGAGUGGAAGUUAAGACAUAUCUACCGAGCUGCGCGACGGAGUUUGUAUAUAUUGACUGAGUUAGCUUGGCUUAGGGACUCAUUAUUAGCCAUACGGUUCUCUACAUUAUGUUACUUAGGAUUCUCUCAGCAAACAUGUGUUCUAUUUUCUUAGCAUAUUAUUCAGGCUUAAGUACUGAAUGAUACUCGAUUUAUUAGGAGGGCUUCAGUUCUGGUCAGUUGAGACUCUGCAUUUUUAGUUAAUAAUAAUUGACCAGAUAUUGCCUUUAGUUUCCAAGUAAUGGAGGCUAUUGCAUUUCCAUUUAGUCUAUAAUUUAAGCAAAUUUCUGAAAAAUAUAUAUCCAACCUAAUCUAAGUGGUGAGGAAAAUCAACUAAUGCUUCAGGAAAAGAUCAUGCAACUUGCUGACAACGAAACUGAUGUUAGUAAUUGUAUGAAAGAUAGAAGAGGAUUAAUAAUAUUGGAUUUUGAAUAUCUAUCUUUAGCAAUUUGUGAUCCUGGGUUUCUAAUAGACUUCCACUUCUACAGGCUAGCCAUGAAGGCAUCUCUAAUAGAGCGCAUUUGUUAAUAGGAAGCUUGUUUCUGAAGAUGCAAUUUUGUUCCUUUGGUCUCUGAUUGUUCCUCAACCUCACAACAUUUUGAAUCUUCUGAAAGGCUACUGAAAUAUAUUUACUCCAGUGUCCAUGGCAUAUUCUGGAAGUUGUUUAGUUUUCAUCCCUACAUUUAUAGCUCAUUUCCAGUUUUCCAAGAGUGUGGAAUGGUAUCUGCUAUCUAUAUGAAAUUGUCAUAUUCGGCGUCUUUGUUUGUCUUGCAUGUGCCUAACAUAGCUCUCUUUCAGAGUUUAUUAAUAUUCAAGUUUUUCAGGUCUUACAUUUUGUUGUCUCAUUAUCUUUUCUUUUUCUGUUCCUGAUAUUGCCAAGGGGUAUAUUAAAUACUUACCAGUUGCUUAGAGGUUCGCAAUUUUUUUAUGGUGUUUUAUAUUGCUUUUUGUUUUUGCAGCACUAUUGGCACGACAUGUGAAUUCCUUGUUUUGAAGCCUCCCUACCUUCAGUUCAGUUUUUUUUUCUUACCUACAUGCUUCCUAAACCAAAUAUGUAGUGAUUUUGCUCUGUCAUAGUAUAUAAUACAUGUAUCAAGAGGAAUAUUUUUGGCAGCACUGAAGAUUAGAGUGCAGAUUAUCUGCUACCAGAACUAACUGAACAUGAAGGUACUCAGAGCUACUACGCUUACUGAUAGUGCCUAACAUGAUUCAUACUUUGUAUUCUUACCAUUUGAUGAUAAAUAGGAAAUUUGACCUAGGACAGUCAGGCAUACAUUAGAUGAAAACAUGUUCAAAAUAUACUCUUCAGGUAUAUUGUUUACAACACCAAUUCACUAUUAUUAUGAGCUAUGAUGUUGCUACUUUCUAUAAGCUCUACUGUCUCUGUAUUCAUGCAGGCAGCUGAGAGAUUUAGACCUUGAGAAUGAUCUGGUAGCUAAAAGGUUUACUUUGACUUAUAAUACCUCCAUGAUUUUCUAACAUGAGGAAACUAUUUAUCUAAGUCACAGUUAAGAAAAUUGCUCACAUGCUCGAUGGAAGAAGAAAACGUUAUGCCAACUCUCUAAUGUGUGCUGGCUGCUAUCAACCCAUCCUUGUGUUUAGCUGCAAACUGAAGCUACAUUUAUGUUAGUUUCCUUGGAAUAGAAUGGGUGAUGAAGAGGGAACCUUCUACAAUCCAAAAGCUGCAGCAAAUAUUGUAACAUUUUAGACAUCUAUUAUAGGUCAUUGUAUAUUUUCUGCCCAUUUGUAGUGGCGUCAUCAUGUUCUUUAUCAUUCCAAACAGGAAGUAUAUACUCAGGAUGCUAUGGAGCUACAUGGUCCAGAAUUUGAUGCGAUGAAUGCCUCCAUUGACAAAGUUAGUGUGUACAGGGCUGGGUAUGCCCAACAAAUGUAUCCUGUACUAACCAUUCAAAUUCUUGUAUCGACAUGCUACCUUCUGAAGAACUAUAGCCUAUCUAUGUUGGCUUAUUGACAAGUGCCUUGUGUAACGUGUGUUUAAGUCAAACUAUUAUAUAUCAAUGUAAUGUGCUGGCACCAAAAUA